rnacentral:rRNA from 1 species
GACGAACGCUGGCGGCGUGCUUAACACAUGCAAGUCGAACGGGUAUGCCCUGUUUUUUGCGGGGUGGGCAAGUGCCGAACGGGUGAGUACCACGUGAGUACCCUGCCCCUCCCUUCUGGAUAACCCCUUGAACGGCUGCCUAAUACGGGUUGUUCUGGAUGUGCCGCAUGGUGUGGCUGGGAAAGAUUCCCUUUUGUGGUGUUUUGGUGGGGGAUGGGCUUGGGGCCUAUCAGCUUGUUGGCGGGGUAAUGGCCUGCUAAGGCGUCGGAGGGUAGCCGGCCUGAGAGGGAGUGAGGCCAGACUGGGACUGAGACACGGCGCAGAAGUCUGGGGGAGUCAGCAGUGGGGAAAAUUGCAAUACGGGGGAGUGCCUGAUGCAGCGAAGCCGUGUGAGUGAUGACGGCCUUUGGGUUGUGAACAACGUCCUGCAGGGAGGGAGGGAGAGUGCGGUAGCCGGCUGAUGAAGCGCCGGCUAACUACGUG